CAUUUGAAACAAUGGGCACACUAACAUCUAUGGUUUUCAAGUGCACAACAAAGCCUUGAAAGAGCAAUCUAUAACUUUAAAAAUUUUAUCCCAACCUAUUGAUGCCUGGCUACACAAAUCUUAUCAUGGCAAACUUCUUGCUAUUCAAAUGCGUUUAUAUCUUCAUCUAGAUUAUUAAUGCUUCCUGUUAAAUCUUAAUCUCAUAGACAUAGUCCUUCCAUGCACAUUAUCAAAUCUAAAGCUUUAAAUGCCAUAAUACCUGCUAUAUCUCAAUUCUUACCUAUAUUUGGUCAUAAUAUUUUCAAAAUGAAAAGGGAUCUGUUAGGGUUCAACCCUAAUUCAUCCUCUGAAUGCAAGAUUGAAAAUAGAUCAAGAGAAUAGAAGUAGAUG
rnacentral:misc_RNA from 1 species